rnacentral:lncRNA from 1 species
AAACCUUAUAAGUGUACACACUGUGACAAGAGAUAUAGUGAUUCAUCAAGUCUGAAAAGACAUGAGAGGAUCCACACUGGGGAGAAACAUUAUAAGUGUUCACAUUGUGACAAGAGAUAUAUUGAUUCAUCAAGUCCGAAGAGACAUGAGAGGAUCCACACUGGAGAGAAACCUUAUAAGUGUUCUCACUGUGACCAGAGAUUUAAUCAGUUGCCAAGUCUUAAAACACAUGAGAGCAUCCACACUGGAGAGAAACUUCAUAAGUGUACACACUGUGACAAGAGAUAUAGUGAUUCAUCAAGUCUGAAAAGACAUGAGAGGGUCCACACUGGAGAGAAACAUUAUAAGUGUUCACACUGUGACAAGAGAUAUAGUGAUUCAUCAAGUCUGAAAAGACAUGAGAGUAUCCACACCUGAGAGGAAUCGUAUCACUACACUGUACGUGGGAAGCGUUUCAUUCAGUCAUCUGUUCUACACAGUCAUACAAAAAACAAUCACAGUAAGGCCCCGUACACACAGAGACACAUUUAGCUGUAUAUGUAAAUAUUUUGUAUGGUAUAUGUGUUUCAUCCAGGCGGAUCCGGCUUUUGGGAGAGUGAAAUGUAUUUUUUUUUUUUUUAACCGGGUCCCAGAGUGGAUAAAUCUGAAAAUGACACCUUUGCGUUUUCGUGUGUACAGCUAAUCUGUAUAUUUUAUGAAACAAUGAUGUCAUGGAAGAUCACGUGACCCUUUGGCAGCAAUGCACGCAUAGUCCUUCGUUCUGCUCACUUUGUCAGAAAUUAUAUAUAUCCUGUCAGUAAAUUGUGAACAACUCUUUACCUAGCCCACUAUGAGUACCUCAGCAGUCAAGGACGUUCGGGAAAAACAGAUUGAACAAUCGCCAAUAAAGAAAAAAUUCAAAGAUUCCGCCAUCUAUAGAGAGGACCUGGAUGUGGCUAUAACUAACGGUAUAGCUAUAGCAGGACAAUUUCCCAACUUUAGUCCAGCCACAACUACCAAGAGACAGAGCUUUAAUCCAGUUUUGAAGAAGAUGACAGCCCUCGGUCUCCAGCCCUUCCUCACAUACCCAGAAGUAACUAAAGUACAGCACAAAGGACCCAGAGCGCAACCCAUUCUCACCCCGCAGCACAGAGCAUAA